AACGAACGCUGGCGGCAGGCCUAACACAUGCAAGUCGAACGAACUCUUCGGAGUUAGUGGCAGACGGGUGAGUAACGCGUGGGAAUCUACCCAGUUCUACGGAACAACUGAGGGAAACUUCAGCUAAUACCGUAUACGCCCUUCGGGAGAAAGAUUUAUCGGUGAUGGAUGAGCCCGCGUUGGAUUAGCUAGUUGGUGGGGUAAUGGCCUACCAAGGCGACGAUCCAUAGCUGGUCUGAGAGGAUGAUCAGCCACACUGGGACUGAGACACGGCCCAGACUCCUACGGGAGGCAGCAGUGGGGAAUAUUGGACAAUGGGCGAAAGCCUGAUCCAGCCAUGCCGCGUGAGUGAUGAAGGCCCUAGGGUUGUAAAGCUCUUUCACCGGUGAAGAUAAUGACGGUAACCGGAGAAGAAGCCCCGGCUAACUUCGUGCCAGCAGCCGCCGUAAAAC
rnacentral:rRNA from 1 species